UGUGUGUGUGUGUGUGUGUGAUGUCGGUGUGAGUCCGUGUGUGUGUCUGUGUCUUUGUGUGUGUGUGUAAAUGUAAAUGUGUGUUCUGAAACAAGAUCUUAUUCUAGUGCAGAAUGACAUAGAAUUUACUUUGUAGCCAGGCUGGCCUCAACCUCCAAAUUGUGGGAUUAUAGACAUAAGCCAAAAUGCCCACAUUUUUCAAGCAUUUUAUGUGUGUGUUUAUACCUGUGGAUAUGGGGUAUGCACACAUGCCCAUGUAUGUGCACACAUACAGUCCAUAGAUCAACUUCGUGGCAUUUCCUUGAGUUCCCAUACCACAAGAACUUGUCAUUUCCAUUCCACAAGUGUCAUUCAUCUUGUGUUCUCUAAACCAGGUUUCCCAUUAACCUGUACAACACCAAAAUGGUAUGCUGUCAGCCUUCCAGUUCCAAGAAUCAGUUUCUUUCUGACUCUCCAGGUCUAAGGUUACAAUCAGGCAGCACUUGGAAUUGAACGGACGUACAUCAUCAAAUGAUCCACCUGCCUUCUUCAAUUUAAUCAUUUUAAACACUUUAUUAUUGGACCUCAAAAGAAAUUAAUUCAUCCUACUCCUGCUUUAAAUAGAUCUUUGUAUCAAAACUCUGGACAACGGCUUUCAGGUAAAAGUAAUGUUGCCCUCUUUCCUGUGAAUAUCUGGCAGGUUCUAAAUACAUUCUUUGCAAUAAUAACAUUAAUGAAUAGGAGGGCUAAUGUUUUGUAAGAGGAAGAAAUCAUAAAUAAUGCUAAAUGUACAUUCCUGUAUAGGAAAACCCCCAUACUAAUGAAUAAUCCAGACAAAAAUGUCAGUACACCUAGGAAUCUCUGUCUUAGGACAAUUAAUGAUCAAGGAGGGAAAAUGAAUGGUAGGAUUGGGGAUUUCAAGACCUACUUUGUAGAAUAGCUCUAAAAACACAAAUGUAAAGUGUUUCCAGUUGGUUUUAACUUACAGUCAAUCAUAUCCCAAAGUUCUAUCAGAAUUAUAGAUUGUUCUCAAACUUCCUUUUUGUCUUCAAGAUUGGUCAACAUGAGUUGACUCAUGGAAAAUGUAGUCUAUAAGACUAGGUGCAUGAAUAGUGUCAUUAAGUAAAAUAGGAGAACUGUGGAAUUCAGCACACAUGACCCUGAUGCAUGCCCUUGAAGAGAAGCCUUUCCCCCACUCACAGGGAUGCUGCAGCUCCAAGGAAGAAAUUACUCAGUUGCCAGGGUUGAUUUUUAUUUUAAGGAGUACAUAUUAGGUAGAAUGGUGAGGGGACAUCAGGACAGGAUGAGGAAGUGGAAUCUCGUGUGUCUAUUUCCCCAGUCAUGUUGUGAUGAAUGCUCAAUCUGCCUGGAAUGCUACUGAGAGCACAGGCAGUGGACUCCUUUUUCUGUUGUAACAUCAAGUAAAUGGCCACUAACACAAAGAGGAGCAAAGUAAUGAUAGGGGGAGAGGAAAAUUCUUAAAUCAGAACUUCAAAGGUGCUAGCCUCCUACCAGCACACAUUUCAUUGUUAUACAAUGGAUAUUCAUUUCGCAAGUUAGUUAUUCCCUCUCAGCUUCAGUGAAACCAUAGAGAGGUAAAAAUAAGGAAAAAAAAAUUCAUAGACUUCAUCAACAACCUCACCUAACAGACAAUAAAUAAUCCAAAGGACGUAAUGGAACCAGGCACCUAGUGAUAUGUGUCUGGCUGGCCUAAGAGGGUCUGCAGGUACUCAGUUUUUUUCCUAGCACAGUGUGUGCUUCUAUCCUCUCUAUCCCUAGCUCAGAUAAGAUUAUACUAAUUUUGAACAGGAGAAAACAAAUUUCUGGAAGUUGCACAGAAGGGGGUGAAGAAAAUCUAGGAAGACCUAAUGAAUAGAUCUGCACAAGAGUCCUUGGCCUAGACCUACAAAGAGAUCCCCAGUGAACAUUCACUCCAGAAACAAAGAACCGCCAAAGAAAGGACUAUUGUUUCUUUAGUGGUACAUCAUUAGGCACUCGUAUCUGUUAGACUGAAAAGAGCUUAGAAGAUGAGCUUAAUAGAACGGAUCAACCAGAAGUAGACUUUAAAUUCUUAUAGCUAGUAACUGAAGAAAUAAAAUCCACACACACCUCAAGGAAUACCCACUUUUACAUACUGCCAUCAAGGUCUUUAAAGCAUUGUUUUCCCUUUAAAAUUUAGCACAAAUACAAGCUAGCUAAAGAAGAGAAGACGGGUGGAUCUGAAGGUAAAUUCACCCAAAUGCUGAUGUUUAUCCAGGGGGAAAGAUGCCAGACAAAAUUUGCUUUAGUAUAAAGCUGCUGGGGGCAACAUGGUCAUAAUGAAAGAAAAAAUGAAGACACACAAUGGUUAUUUUUCAGAAGCAGUUGGCAUUAUAAAGUGAUUUGAUAAUAAAGCACUAAAAUUUCCUAAAGCAAUAAAAGCACUAUGCAUUUCCCACAGCAAGAUUUGUCAGACAAGCAAUGAUAAAAAUAUUUUCCCACAGAUUUGUUUUGAAAAAAAAAUAUACUCAAGACCUCCACAAUAUAAGCUUUGUAAAAUAUUGUUAUUUUUAUUGUUCUCCCAUAAAAUUCUUUUAAUGAAAUACACAGUACAGAUAUCAAAAAAGGAGUUUAAAGUCACCAAAUGCAUACUAAUAAAUGAGAUGCAGUAACUUUCUCAAUACCAAACUUUCAAGAUGCCAGUUGUAAAAUGAAUAGUCACAUAACUAAAAGAAAACAAAAUGUCAAUGACACUUAAGCUAAACUCCAUGGUUGGAUCCCGGCUUCACAUCUCACUUGGAAGUGUACUGGGCAGGCAAAGAAAAAAAGCAGGAGCAACUCCAGGGAGCUUGGCAGGAAUGUGUGAGGCAGGUGUGCAAUGAUGGGGUGGGGCUUAAUGCCUACUUAUCAUGUGUUGUAAGAUCAAACCCCAAAUUAAAAUGUCACUUCCUUGUGUGGCCUACAUAGUGUCUAUACUGCAGAGUCUCAUAUCUUUUUACCAUAUUUCUUUAGUGUUUACAGUCAUGGAUAUUGAGGCAUUGAUCAUAUUGGCCCCCUGAAAUUUUGAACAUGCAUACUUCUUCCAAGUGCAGGUCUGACUACAGUCAAAUGUCUCAUUUUAGUCGAUUCUGUAAUUUACAAGCUUGUAACUUUACUGCAUACACACCAUAGAUAAGCAAUAUCUAUAUUUUACUUACAAAUACAGCAUGAUAAAAAUAGAUAAUGAAGAUAUAUCUUAUAGCUUACACACUAUGAAUAUACUAAGAAAUAGAUAAAUUUAAAGGUUAUUUUUAAAAUAGCAAGAUAAAUUCUAUAUUUUUUCUAAGGCACAAAAUGAGCCAGUGGGACCUGCAACCAUAGGCAUAUUCUAGCUAUAUUUUUUUCAUAUAUAUAUUGAUGACCAUAGGCAAAAAUGAGCAUUUGGAUUGACCUGCCCACCAAUCCCUUUAGGAUUCAAAUGUUUAAUGUGACAAUUAAAGGCUCUAUGUCUAUGCAGCAACCACUGUCCACAUGAUGUAAUGCACAAGAUAAAAAGACAUUGGUAUUGUUUGAGAUUUCAAACAAUUGUCCUUUUUUUCUUAUCAGUAUAAUCCAUCAACACUAAACUAUACACAACUGGGUUUUGUUUUUUAAAUGACUAAUGUUGUUCUUUUGUUUCCAGAAAGAAAAAAAAUGAAUACAAGGCAGGAGUAGACUGGUGCAAGAGUCAUGUACUAAUAAACAAAACAGUAAGCUCUCUGAUCCUUGAACAGUGUACUGGGAAGAGAUGGGAGCAAAGGAGCAGCAUAAAAGAAAGGGCGAGUGUGUGAGCAAUGCAGCGUCUGGGUAUUUCCCUAGCAUGUUAGAGACCCAAGUUCAAUCCCCCAAACCAGAAAACAAAACAAGAAAAAGGGGGUAAAGGAAGAGCUGGGUUUUGGAAGAGAAUAUCUGAGCUAUGGACAGAGGAAGUUUAGAUAGGGUUCUGUGCUCUCACCAGGAUCCUCAGGAAAUAGCAGAUUUAGAAACCAGAUCCAGCUGUGAGUCAAUUGCCAGAGAACAUCUCAAAUAAGAUCUCCCCUCUCUGGAUUGGCUUUAUCCCAGCCUUUGCCAAGGGCACUCCACACUUCUGCUUUCUCGAGGAUCCCUGUCUUUGAAGAACACCUGGCAACUGCUAUGUAAUUUGGAGUUUUCAUCCUCCAGGAGUAACCUGCUGCUUAAGCUGAAGGCUGCUCCUCUUACCUUGUCAUUAUCUGUUUCUGGAAGGCUCUAGACAAAGUUGCUGACACUGCCAUGCUUCAAAGUCCAUCUGUGUGAAAUGAAACAGCCCCUGCCCCCUCCCUGCCUGGACACCAGUGAACAAACAAAGCACAUUCAAAUCGAUGACACAACAGGGCUUUGGAAAGAAACAUCAGUCCGUUGUCAAUAAAUCCAGCCUGCCUUUCUCAAGUGGGGUUCCAUGACAUAAUCUGCUUGAUAUGAAGUCACUUCUUAAUUCUCCCAAGGCUGGCACAAAGCUAGAACCAUUCUAGAUGUUCAGGAUGAAAGCUAACUCAUGUCACACCACAGAUGCCAUGGAGCAAUAAGGCUCAGUGUCCUUGGGAGUUCAGGGUAAAAGGACCUGGCACUAUAUGUAAUAUGUAAUAUAUAACAUGUAAUAUAUAGUAUGUAAACAUGGCUUUUCUGUGUGCUGUCAUUAAAAAAAAAACUUAUUGACCUGUGGACCAAAGACUUACUAUGCUGUUGAAGAAAAAUUAAAUAGCCUGGAGAAAUGCUUGAGUGAAUUGUUUGUAGAUUUCAGGAAGUCACAGGAAGUAACAACAACAGCAACAACAACAACAACAACAACAACGGGACCAACAAUAUUAAAGUUGAUAAAAUGUGCAGAGAAAAGCAUCUCCUCACGUAACAGCCAGGAUUUAUGAAGCUCAUUUAAAAUGCUCGAGGAUGUGCUUCAACAAGGCAUUUGUUUUCCAUCUUAGAGAAGGCAACAAGAAAAAUCGCCUUCUGAAACAUUUAGAACUGGCAUGAAACAGAAGUUUGAUUUCAAGUCAGUUUAACACAACACAGGAAUGUCUGCCUUAAGGCUAAUUAAUCUCACAAAGAGGUCUCCAUUAAAGAUGGAUCUCAUUGUUCAGUCAAGAAAACUGAGGUCCAGAGAAGAAAUUAUAGCCAGUAUUUCUCUAAAAGGCCCAGCAGAAGGACUUUUCAGAUAUGUAUCCUCUAAAUGAAAAUCCCAGCUAGCUCCCUAAACCACUACUGAGAAGAAAAGACAAGAAGGACUGUUGAUUUUAAUGAACGAUGCCCCUGCCAUUCAUGUUGAUAUUUAACCCCCCAAUAUCUCAGAGUUGCGCUUAUUAAGAUACAGGUUUUCACAGGGGUAACUAAGGUAAAAUGAUUCGUUUGAGUUUCCUGGUCCUUAAUAUUUCACAAGAAGAGAAGCAUUAGACCAAAAUAUCUAAAGAAAAAAGAAAGUAGACAGUGAGUGAGAAGACCCAUGAGUUCAGUAGCCAUCUACUGAGUAAAGGGGAAACGGAUUCUUCCCUCGGUCUCUAGAAGGAAUAUCUUGUAAGGGGUUUUCCAGAUGAAUAGAAUCAAGAGCAUUGGCAGGGGGAGGGGGCGCAUAGGAAGGAGGGAGAGAGAGAAGAGAGACGAGAGAGAAAGGUGGGAGAAGAAAGGAUAUUUAUUAAAUGAGCUUUAAAAUAGAGACAACAGUCAAGUCGCUACUGAGAUGCUAAAAACUCAGUAGUGGAGGCUGGGUUCCUCAACAUACUUAGUAGUCCCAGAAUAGCUGACCAUCUCUUGCUGGAGGACAACAAUAGGCAGUUACUCAGUCCACAGGGUGGAAUGCCUCAAUGGUCCCAAUCUGGGACCAGGAGCCUUGAAAGUUCUUGGAAAGUCACUAGUUUCAUCCCAUGAUUGCAAGCUUGGACAGCUACUGUUAGGAAAGUUAUCAGCAGGGCAGCAACAACAGAAGAGGGAAGACUAAGUCAGCAAUAGGCUCAGGAAGCUGCCCUCUGAAAUCUGCUUUUGAUAUCGGCUGCCGCCAUCCACAAUAGGCUGGGUCUUCCCACAUCAAUCAAGGAAAUCAGGAUAACUCUUCAGGUGAGGAUAUCUACUUGGGUGAUUCUAAUUUGUGACAAAGUGACAUUAAAAACAUCCAUAUGUCUCUUGUACUAAGACAAUAAAUUUCUGUCAUUAAACUACCAAGUGUGUGGUAUUUUGUUAAAGCAGAACGAGCAAACUGAUAAUAUUGCCAGAUUCUAAAUAAAUCUAUAAUUAAAAUUACCAUUCAAAUGUUAGUAAGUACAGAAUAAUUUUCUGUAAGUCCACAAUGUUUAUGUUUCUGGGGUUCUUAAGUUUUAAAUUGACCUCAUCUAAGCAAUCUGCUUUGUAUCAAGGAGAAAUUUUUAUUUUCAUUUUGAUAAAAAAUAAUAAAUCUAAGUAUAAAUAUAAGACCUACUAUCAAGUUAGAUAUUUUGAAGUAUUCACUCUAUGCUAUAUGCAAACCUUGCAGCUUCCUGAGAAUAUUCUGACUAUUAAAAUUAUUAUGAAUUGUGUGUAUAACUACAUAUAUUUGAUAAAAAUUAAUAAAAUUAAUUUCUACAUAGUAAACAUAUAUUGAUUAUAAUUUUAAUAGGUAAAAAUUUGACAAAUAUUCCUUUGCUAAGAAACUGUUUCCAAGUGAAUGCCACUUUGAGUCUGGCUAAGAUUUAUAGCAGGUAGUGACAUUUGUAACCUAACAACCUAAGGUCCAUGCAUCCAGUUCCCACAUGAUGAAAGGAGACUCUUUCUACUCCAUAUAUGUAGUGUGUGUAUACAUGCACAGAAACAAGAUUUUAAAAAAAGAAACUAGCAAGUUCUGUGCAAAGAAGUCCUUCAGUAAAAUUAACCAUCUCUCUAUGAACUUAGGGAUACAGGGGACAAACCUCAAUAAAAAGGAAGCCCAAUGAUAUCGUCUUUCUAAAGGAAAAAAAAUAGCAGCUCCACUAAAACAAGCAUGUGCAUUCUCUUCCCUCCCACUGAAUAGUAACUGGAGAAAUAAGCAAGUAUGUCAAAUAGUGAGCUAACAGUGAUGCAUAUUGUAAAUACAGAAAUCAAAGUAUCUUUAUUUUCAGAUGAUUUUAUUCUAUACAUAAAAUACCUUUAAAAGUCCAAGAGAAAACUCCUACUGCAAAUAAAUACAUUUUGGAAAGGCUAGUCAAAUGGUAGGACAGCCAAAAGAAUCCUGAACAACCAAAAUCUCUUUGAAGUAUGGCCAUUCCAGAUUUCAAGUCAUAUUACAGAGCUACAGAAAUGAAAAUAGUAUGCACUGGCAUUUCUAAAGACCCAUUGAUCGAUGAAAUAACUGAGAAGAACAUAUAAACCUAUACCGUAGGGCCAUAUGAUUUUGACCAUAUAGACAACACCGGAGAAAAGACACCUUCAAAAAAAAAAAAAAAAAAAAAAAAGAUGAUGCUAGUCAAACUGAAUACCUAUAUGAAGAAGAAUGAAACUCUAUUCCCAUGUCUAACCUGCACAAAGCUCAACCGAGGUGGAUUAAGGAUCUCACCAAUAGACUAAAGAAAAAUAUACUGAGCCAUCUAAGAAAUGCAAGUUAAGUUCUUACUCCAGUCAGAAUGCCUAAGGUAAAAAAAUAAACAAAUAAAACAAACAAUAACAACAAAAUAAUAACAAAUGUUGGGGAGAAUGUUAAGAAAGGAACACUUACUCACUGAUGGUGAGCUUGCCAGUACUGAAGUCAGUGUGGAGGUUCCUCACAGAUAAAAUCAUCCAGUGAUCCCACUCUUGGGUACGCACUCAAAGGACUUUAGAUACUACUCUAGAGAUACCUGUUUAUCCAUGUUCAAUACUGCUUUAUUCAAAAAAGUAAAAAUGAAGCCACUGUAAUAAUUCAUAUAUUUACACAAUAGAAUAUUAUUCAUCUGCUCAGAAAAAUGAAAAAUGCAAGUUAAAUGUAUUGCAACAACAUAACCAGAACCCAUAAAAGACAAGUCAGACCAAAGAGAGGGAAGUUGUACUGCAAAUAGGUUCAACCCCUAGCAAUGCAGCUAUUUGCAAUUGUUAGCUGCCAGACACAGCAUAUAUCUCUAAGAGGAUAGCUCCUAGUAAGUAAGUCAACCAUGUCCAAGAAGAAGACCGAAUGGUCUUGAAAGAUUAAAACGAAAGAAUAUAAAUGUGGGCAGGUACUAAAAGUAGGCAGAUCUAGGAAGACUUGGGCACUGAAUAUGAUCAAAACACACCACAUUGUAUUAAACUCUGAAAGAAUUAAUAAAAUUGGAAAUAGUACCUUCCAACUUCAUCAUAGUAUAAGUCAUAUUCAUAAACUCUGAUACAGGUCUAUUGCUAAUUUUAAACGUGGAAUGAUGAAGAUGAUGAUAAAUGAGAAAUACUUCAUCUUCUAUUCUGGGAGUUGUUCUUUCAGGAGACGGUUAAUGAGAACAAUACAUGGGAAAAAGGAAACGUCCAUUGAAUGUUAGCUGAUUACUGUUAUUAAAUCAUUUUUCAUAAGCACUUCAUUUGGGCAUUAGAGAGAUGACUCAGUGAUUUAGACCACAUACUGGUCUUGCAGAGGACCUGAGCUUAGCUUCCAAUACCCACAUUAGUGGGUAGCUUACCCACACACACAUGUACAUCCCCACAAGUAGACAUACAUGUACACAUGCUUAAAAAAAUGAAACUUUUAAAAGACCAGUUAAUUUUAAUUCUAAGAUUAAAUGUAAAAAUAAUUUUACUAAAUUUUCACAGAUUAAAACCUAACUACCAAUUUAUAUUUUAAUUAUGUUAAUUUUUUUCUUUUCUCCAAAUGCUUGCAAGAAAGUGAUAAAGACACAAAUAGAUACAUGUUUUGAGCAGGAAUCUCCUUCUAAAUCAAUUUCCCUGAGAAAGCAUCAGCUCUUUUCAACCAUCCCAUCAAGAGAUAUUUAAGAUCACAUUUGGUUUGUUUAGGUUUGGGCUUUCCCCUCUUUACCUCCCUCAUUAUUUUCAAAGAACUGUAUGAUCGUCUGUAUCUCAGAAACGCUAACAUUAUACCUUUUAAAUCACAUUUUUUUGCAUUGUCACAUUUCUUCAGUUAUAGUCCCAUGACUUGUAUAAUUUGCCUUUAUUCUCUUCAUUCACUCCAAAUCUCCCUAUUCCUUAUCAGAGCCCCUCUGCAAUCACUUCUCCAGUUUUCCCCACCUCUUCCGGAUGCCCAUGUCUUUCUGCUCUUUCAUAACCAUCAAUCUUCUCUCCCUUCUUGUUCAGGAAGGAAAACAUCUGUUCAACGUUCUCUCCUGGUCACAGUAAUAAAUCUUCCUCCGAAGAGCACUGCAUCUUUUCUUCCUCAGUCUCAGAAUAACUUUUCCAUUCAGCUGAAACAUGGGUUCAUGGCAUCAUUCCAGUAUUUUUAUUCUCAUACACCAUGGUUUAACUCCAAAGACUUAUGCUAAUACUCUGUGUACAAAGUUGCAUGGUCAAAGCUUACCUGCUGGGGUUUGAAAGAGAAAAGUCCCCCACAGGCUCAAGUGUUUUAACACUUGUUCACCAGUUGGUGGUGGUAAGUGGAAUCUUUGAAAGACUGGAGAAAGCAUAUCACUGGAGGUGGGACGUGUGGGGUUAUAGGCUGGCCCCAACUUCCUGAGAGUGGAUACAAGGUGAGCACCCUGCUUCCUCCUCCUGCCUCAUGGCUUUCCUGCCUGAUAGCUUCUAUCCCUCUGGAAUUAUAAACAAAAGUAAAUCCUUCUCCCGGAAUUUGUUUUUAUGGUAGUAUUUUUACUACAGCAAUGGAAAAGAAACUAAGACAAACCUGUGUCUUUUUUGUUCUGUACCUGUGAGUUGACUUGCUGAAUAUUUUCAGGCCUGAACUUUUCUACUUUGCUUCUCGAAAAUUCUACC